rnacentral:lncRNA from 1 species
GUAAAGAAGAGCUCAGUGUGUCAGUGUGUUCUGAGACAAGUACACAUAAGAACAGACUUUUAAGAAUUGUAGACCUGGACGUCGUCCCCCUUGUGAAUACCGAAGGAUUAUUUGUGUCUGAGCAUAGGGGAUGAUCAUUGUGAACCUGAUUUCAUUCACUUAGCUAAGGGAACAUGAACAUGUCCUGAUGAUUAUUUUCUCUGGUAUCAGCCAAAGACAACGUGCUGCAGCCAGAAGGAGACGUGACAAUACCAGACUGCUACUGAAGGAGACGCAGUAACACUUGGCUUGUGUAACAGCAGCAGUUCAACAAGUCCAUCUCUCUACUGGUACAAACAGGAUGGAAACAACAGCCCCACAUUCAUCCUGAAUCCAGUUAAACUAGAUGACGGCAACACACCAAACGAGUACAGGGAGAGAUUUUCAUCCACACUGAAUUCGAAAUCCAGAUCAGUUCCUCUGAAGAUCCAGAAGCUUCAGCUGUCUGACUCUGCUGUGUACUACUGUGCUCUGCAGCCCACAGUGACAGGAAACACCAAAACUCUGUACAAAAACCUUUGGAGCAAAGACAACACAAUACUCCACAACAUCCACCAGAGGGAGACACACACUGUUAAACUUCAGUGGUUUGUUGCAGGAAGUCAAAGCCCAAUCAGCUUGAUGCUGAGGAGAAGAGCUGUGCAGCAGACACUGUUUAGUUGUUUCAUUCUACUGCAGUGGAAGAACACUGUUCAUCUGCUGUCUGACUUCAACAACUCCAAAGACAUGUUGCUUUACUUCUUUCUCUUUUUAUCUCACUUCAUAGGACUAACAGCUGGAGACACAAUCUCUCCUGUAGAAGAUGAAGUCACUGGAAGAGAAGGAGAAUCUGUCAAACUCACAUGUCGCUAUCAAACAGCUGAAACUUCUGUUGAUCUUUACUGGUACAAACAUCAUUCAGACCUGGAAGCUCCUCAGUUUAUACUCUGGAAAGGAGCUAAAGGAAACACAGGUCAAUAUAUUCCUGAUAAUCGAUAUGAAUCCCAAACAUCAGAUACAUCAACUGAACUGACCAUAAAGAGUCUAACCCUGGCAGACACAGCUCUCUACUACUGUGCUCUAGAAACACAGUGAUACAAAGUGUAGAAGAGUCUGUACAAAAACCUGAACACUGAUAUCUGACUACUCUUCAAAGAGGA